GUUAUAUUUCACAAUAAAAAAAUUGAGAAUCAGAAGUCAGAUUCCAUAAAAACCCAACAAUGAAAACCAACAAGAAAGAAAUAUUAAAUACAAAUAAUCAUAAUUCUGUGCCAAAGAAAUGAGUAAUCUGACUUCGCUGAGGAAAUCAAGUCUACAGGGUCUCACUUUGCUACUCAAGCUGGUCUUGAACUCCUGGCUUCCAGCAAUCCUCCCACCUCGGCCUCUAAAAUGCUGGGAUUGCAGGCGUGAGCCAUGGCCCAAUCACAAACAUUGCCUGACAACCAACAUCUACUUUUAGAUAAAAGCAACUUUUAUAAUUAAGGGGCCAACACUAAAUAUUAGACCACAGCAAGAAACCCAAGAGCAUAUCCUUAUAUUGCACAUACUGCUUAUAUGAGUGACGAUAUUUUCAAGAAAAAAGACCUUGGCCGGGCAUGGUGGCUCACACCUGUAAUCCCAGCACUUUGGGAGAUCAAGGCAGGCAGAUCACCUGAGGUCAGGAUCAAGACCAGCCUGGCCAACAUGGAGACACCUCGUCUCUACUAAAAAUACAAAAAUUAGCCGCCCGUGUUGGCUCAUGCCUGUAAUCCCAGCUACUCAGGAGGCUGAGGCACAAGAAUUGCUUGAACCUGGCA